CCUACGGGAGGCAGCAGUGGGGAAUAUUGCACAAUGGGCGAAAGCCUGAUGCAGCGACGCCGCGUGAGGGAUGACGGCCUUCGGGUUGUAAACCUCUUUCAGCAGGGAAGAAGCGAAAGUGACGGUACCUGCAGAAGAAGCACCGGCUAACUACGUGCCAGCAGCCGCGGUAAUACGUAGGGUGCGAGCGUUGUCCGGAAUUAUUGGGCGUAAAGAGCUUGUAGGCGGUUUGUCGCGUCUGCCGUGAAAUUUCGAGGCUCAACCUCGAACUUGCGGUGGGUACGGGCAGACUAGAGUGUGGUAGGGGAGACUGGAAUUCCUGGUGUAGCGGUGAAAUGCGCAGAUAUCAGGAGGAACACCGAUGGCGAAGGCAGGUCUCUGGGCCACUACUGACGCUGAGAAGCGAAAGCAUGGGGAGCGAACAGGAUUAGAUACCCUGGUAGUCCAUGCCGUAAACGUUGGGAACUAGGUGUGGGUCUCAUUCCACGAGAUCCGUGCCGCAGCUACGACAUUACGUUACCCGUCCGUCGGGAGGUACGGCCGGCCGAACGGACGUAAAACCGUUAACGAAAGUAAAGUUAGUUACGGCGUUGAGACGNGCGACGGACGACGACGAGGGAGGAGG
rnacentral:rRNA from 1 species